AGCACGGGGGGCAACCCUGGUGGCGAGUGGCGAACGGGUGAGGUAAUACAUCGGAACGUGUCUAUAAGUGGGGGGAUAACGCAUCGAAAAGGUGUGCUAAAUACCGCAUAAUCUCUCAGGGAGAAAAGCAGGGGGAUCGCAAGACCUUUGCGCUUUAGGGAGCGGCCGAUGCCUGAUUAGCUUGUUGGUAAGGUAAAGGCUUACCAAGGCUUCGAUCAGUAGCUGGUCUGAGAGGACGACCAGCCACACUGGGGACUGAGACACGGCCCCAGACUCC
rnacentral:rRNA from 1 species